AAGUCGUAACAAGGUAUUCGUAGGUGAACCUGCGAAUGGAUCAUUAACACUAAUGAACAUCUAUACCAAAAACAACCAAAACGUUAGUGAUAUGUGCUUCAUUGUAUAUAUCAUUAACUGAGAACUCGGUGGGAUGAAGAAUGAUUCAUUCAUUCGAUUCCUUCACAAUUUUCUAUAUUCAAUUAUUUUAAAAACAACCAAAACAAAUAAUCGGACGGGGUCUGUUUUCAGGCCUAUUCGUUCUGAUUCUAACACCAAGGUCCUUCAAACUGUCACAUUUGUGACUGUUUUGUCGGAUUCCAUUAACAACAAUUGAAAUACAACUCGUAGCAAUGGAUAUCUUGGUUCUC
rnacentral:misc_RNA from 1 species